GAUGAACGCUGGCGGCGUGCCUAAUACAUGCCAGUCGAGCGAACGGACGAGAAGCUUGCUUCUCUGAUGUUAGCGGCGGACGGGUGAGUAACACGUGGAUAACCUACCUAUAAGACUGGGAUAACUUCGGGAAACCGGAGCUAAUACCGGAUAAUAUUUUGAACCGCAUGGUUCAAAAGUUAAAGACGGUCUUGCUGUCACUUAUAGAUGGAUCCGCGCUGCAUUAGCUAGUUGGUAAGGUAACGGCUUACCAAGGCAACGAUGCAUAGCCGACCUGAGAGGGUGAUCGGCCACACUGGAACUGAGACACGGUCCAGACUCCUACGGGAGGCAGCAGUAGGGAAUCUUCCGCAAUGGGCGAAAGCCUGACGGAGCAACGCCGCGUGAGUGAUGAAGGUCUUCGGAUCGUAAAACUCUGUUAUUAGGGAAGAACAUAUGUGUAAGUAACUGUGCACAUCUUGACGGUACCUAAUCAGAAAGCCACGGCUAACUACGUG
rnacentral:rRNA from 1 species